GAUGAACGCUAGCGGCAGGCCUAAUACAUGCAAGUCGAGGGGUAGAAGAGGCUUGCUUCUUUGAGACCGGCGCACGGGUGCGUAACGCGUAUGCAACCUACCUUCAUCUGGGGGAUAGCCCGGAGAAAUCCGGAUUAAUACCGCAUAAAAUCACAGGAUGGCAUUAUCCAAUGAUCAAACAUUUAUGGGAUGGAGAUGGGCAUGCGUGUCAUUAGCUAGUUGGCGGGGUAACGGCCCACCAAGGCGACGAUGACUAGGGGAUCUGAGAGGAUGGCCCCCCACACUGGUACUGAGACACGGACCAGACUCCUACGGGAGGCAGCAGUAAGGAAUAUUGGUCAAUGGAGGCAACUCUGAACCAGCCAUGCCGCGUGCAGGAAGACUGCCCUAUGGGUUGUAAACUGCUUUUAUUCGGGAAUAAACCUUAUUACGUGUAAUAAGCUGAAUGUACCGAAGGAAUAAGGAUCGGCUAACUCUGUGCCAGCAGCCGCAGUAACAC
rnacentral:rRNA from 1 species